rnacentral:lncRNA from 1 species
AAUCCAUUAUGGACUCAUUCUCCUUACCAAACUCUACAAAUAAUCUUCUGUCUUAAGAGCACCCAGGAUGUGUUUUCAUUGGAAUUAGCUAGCCCUGGGAAAGACAGUCCCUCCAGAGUUAGCAACACCCCAAGAUGUCAAAGAUAAAAAUGCAAAAAUUAAAACUCCAUGAUUAACACAACUUUGAAGUCCUUCUCACUUGUCUUUAGAUGAAGGGCAACAUCAUUGCAACAAGUCACACUUUGAGAACUCAAGAGAAUAUGUUUGUUCUGAAAAUCCAGGAAUUAUUGCCAACCCAUGGUUGUCUCCAUAUGUCUUGGGAAAAAUAGGAAAAGGAUUUUUUGAGUUGGUGAUUUGAAUCCAAGACACAAAGAUUCAGGCUCUGGUAAAAAGAUUGUAUAGGCUAUAUUGGCUGACAUAAAAGGUAAGAGCAAGAAUGCAGAGGAUUUCUAUCAACAUAAAGAAGAGUCAAAGAGACAUAAAAGGCACACAAUGAAAUCUUAAUAAAUGUAUUGGAUGUUGCAGCAUUAACUGAUGAGCCAGACAAUGUAAAGACCUCAGACUACCAAAUGUUUUGAAAGACGAAUAGUGAAUGUGAAACUGUGAACCAAAAUAGAUUUUUAGAAUCCUUGAAAAAAUAGAGCUAGAGAAAGUCUUUGAGACCAUUGAUUGCAAAUAUUUGAGUUUACAACUGAGCAAAUGGAGAAAAGAGAAGUGACUCGUCAGUCCAACAAGUGGCAGAAUCAGAACCAGACCCCAAUGCUUGGGUCUUCUGUCCCUCCUGGCACCAAAGUCACCUAUCAUAAGUAACUUGAGUUUCAGAGGGGAAGGAAAAGACUACAAUGUCCCAGCACUGUUCCAGACACUUUUUAGGGGACUCCAAGACACCUUGUGUAAUGCCUAUUUUAAGUAGCUGGAAGAUUCUAUAGCAUGGGAAAAGCCCACUGAAGGCAAAAGUAAACAUUACCUAUUGUGGUCCUGGAAAAGAAAAUCAUCUCUCAUUUAUCUCCUGGAGCUGUUUGACGAACUUGGUGCUGUCUCAGUGGAAUAGUCAACCAAUGUAUCCUACAUUUUGGACCAGCAGAAGGAAGUAAUGAGAACAGAAAACAAAUAAGAAGUGAGUUGGAGGGAGAAGGAGACUUUAGCAUCUUCCUGAAAUCAGGAAGAAAGUUUCAAGAAUAAAGUAAUCCAUAGGGUCAAAUACUGCAGUAAGUUUAAUUAGGAUGAAGACUGCAAAGAUGGUAUUAGUUUGGUACUUAGGACAUUGGUGACCUCCACAGGUGACUUUCAGGAGAAUUAUCUGGGGAACUUGUUGAUAGAAUUUGUGAAUCUCCACCUUUAGGGAUUCUGAUUUAGAAGGAGUAGGAAGAAGGCCUUAGGAUCUCCAUUUAUAACAACCACUACUGAUUAUUUUGAGGCAGGUAGCAUACAGACCACAUUUGAAAGAAACACUAGGUAAGUGUGAUUUUCAUUCAAAGGACAAAAAACAUAAAGUUACCUAAUUCAGGGACCAUUUCAAAGACCAAAUCAAAUCAGUAGCCUGGCUGAUCUGAUCGACUGCGCAGAAACUAGCCAUUACCAUGGCAAAGUGGGGAGGAACAGUCAAUAAAAAGCAAUUGAUGGCCAGGCGCGGUGGCUCACGCCUGUAAUCCCAGCACUUUGGGAGGCCAAGGCGGGCGGA